UACUCGCUCUACUAAAUUUAAUACUACCGAAAUGAAAAUGCCGUCUGCAUAUUUGUAUAUGGGAUAUGUUGCCUCUUCAAAAUUUUCAUAGGAAUGAAAACUGCGCUGUCAAACUGCAGAGUUUACAGCUUAUUGCUUUCAAUAUAUGGCAUACUAAUUAGUAUUCUAUAUCUUGCUUUCCAUAAGGAAUAGGGAGUCUCCACAGGCAAUAAGCACGGCAAUACAGUUAGUACAAGAAUGAUAGAGAAAGAGAUUACGCAAUGCGCAUGUUUGCUUUCAGUCAGCUGUUCUUGCUGACGUCACGGUUGACUUAUUAUUCACCCGCGCUAUUAAAAGUGAAUUCGAAUUGUGUUUUCAAGUGUUAUAUUAAUUGUUAAAUUCUAUAUUUUUAAAAUGCGUUGUGCAGUGUUUGGUUGUAAUAAUAACAAUGGUAAAAAUAGUGCUACGAAGUGGAGAUUUUUCCAUUUCCCUUAGGAUAAAACAGUACUGAAACAGUGAAUUCAUUUUUGUGCACUUCGCGCCAGAAGCCUUCGAAAUAAAUUUGCAGUGUGAAAUGGGUUUAAGUUCGCGGAGUCUAACGAAAUUGCUAUCACGAUCACCCUGACAAGGAGUUCAAGUGUAGGCUGCGUUCCUAUAUACUUGGUCACAACGAAGGACCGAUUACAGAUGAAGGAAAUGUUGAAGUCGACAACACACCAGAUUUGGAAGGAAAUUACUUAUCUCUAACCGGUAAUAUUUUUCAACGUGUGUCAGUUGAUCUGAAUUCCACUGACCCAAUCGAAAAAAAUAAUGACUUGGAGAUUCUCAACAACGACGGACUUGAGAAUUUGGCAGGGUACAUCUGCCACAAACACGGUAAAGACAACCCCGAAAUUUGUGCCAAUUCCGAAAAUUGUUCGUCCCAUACUUGGGUGGAUCACCUUUCUGAAGGAGGACUCUCAAAACCAACAGAUAUGUUGAUGGAGCAUAUGAGAGCCUUGCAAGCAAUAUUUGACGACGUCAAUGGUAAUGAUUUGCAUAUAUGUACAAAUUACGUCCAG